GGGUUGUGAGGUUAAGCGACUAAGCGUACACGGUGGAUGCCCUGGCAGUCAGAGGCGAUGAAGGACGUGCUAAUCUGCGAUAAGCGUCGGUAAGGUGAUAUGAACCGUUAUAACCGGCGAUUUCCGAAUGGGGAAACCCAGUGUGUUUCGACACACUAUCAUUAACUGAAUCCAUAGGUUAAUGAGGCGAACCGGGGGAACUGAAACAUCUAAGUACCCCGAGGAAAAGAAAUCAACCGAGAUUCCCCCAGUAGCGGCGAGCGAACGGGGAGCAGCCCAGAGCCUGAAUCAGUAUGUGUGUUAGUGGAAGCGUCUGGAAAGGCGCGCGAUACAGGGUGACAGCCCCGUACACAAAAAUGCACAUAUUGUGAGCUCGAUGAGUAGGGCGGGACACGUGGUAUCCUGUCUGAAUAUGGGGGGACCAUCCUCCAAGGCUAAAUACUCCUGACUGACCGAUAGUGAACCAGUACCGUGAGGGAAAGGCGAAAAGAACCCCGGCGAGGGGAGUGAAAAAGAACCUGAAACCGUGUACGUACAAGCAGUGGGAGCACGCUUAGGCGUGUGACUGCGUACCUUUUGUAUAAUGGGUCAGCGACUUAUAUUCUGUAGCAAGGUUAACCGAAUAGGGGAGCCGAAGGGAAACCGAGUCUUAACUGGGCGUUAAGUUGCAGGGUAUAGACCCGAAACCCGGUGAUCUAGCCAUGGGCAGGUUGAAGGUUGGGUAACACUAACUGGAGGACCGAACCGACUAAUGUUGAAAAAUUAGCGGAUGACUUGUGGCUGGGGGUGAAAGGCCAAUCAAACCGGGAGAUAGCUGGUUCUCCCCGAAAGCUAUUUAGGUAGCGCCUCGUGAAUUCAUCUCCGGGGGUAGAGCACUGUUUCGGCAAGGGGGUCAUCCCGACUUACCAACCCGAUGCAAACUGCGAAUACCGGAGAAUGUUAUCACGGGAGACACACGGCGGGUGCUAACGUCCGUCGUGAAGAGGGAAACAACCCAGACCGCCAGCUAAGGUCCCAAAGUCAUGGUUAAGUGGGAAACGAUGUGGGAAGGCCCAGACAGCCAGGAUGUUGGCUUAGAAGCAGCCAUCAUUUAAAGAAAGCGUAAUAGCUCACUGGUCGAGUCGGCCUGCGCGGAAGAUGUAACGGGGCUAAACCAUGCACCGAAGCUGCGGCAGCGACGCUGAUGCGUUGUUGGGUAGGGGAGCGUUCUGUAAGCCUGCGAAGGUGUGCUGUGAGGCAUGCUGGAGGUAUCAGAAGUGCGAAUGCUGACAUAAGUAACGAUAAAGCGGGUGAAAAGCCCGCUCGCCGGAAGACCAAGGGUUCCUGUCCAACGUUAAUCGGGGCAGGGUGAGUCGACCCCUAAGGCGAGGCCGAAAGGCGUAGUCGAUGGGAAACAGGUUAAUAUUCCUGUACUUGGUGUUACUGCGAAGGGGGGACGGAGAAGGCUAUGUUGGCCGGGCGACGGUUGUCCCGGUUUAAGCGUGUAGGCUGGUUUUCCAGGCAAAUCCGGAAAAUCAAGGCUGAGGCGUGAUGACGAGGCACUACGGUGCUGAAGCAACAAAUGCCCUGCUUCCAGGAAAAGCCUCUAAGCAUCAGGUAACAUCAAAUCGUACCCCAAACCGACACAGGUGGUCAGGUAGAGAAUACCAAGGCGCUUGAGAGAACUCGGGUGAAGGAACUAGGCAAAAUGGUGCCGUAACUUCGGGAGAAGGCACGCUGAUAUGUAGGUGAGGUCCCUCGCGGAUGGAGCUGAAAUCAGUCGAAGAUACCAGCUGGCUGCAACUGUUUAUUAAAAACACAGCACUGUGCAAACACGAAAGUGGACGUAUACGGUGUGACGCCUGCCCGGUGCCGGAAGGUUAAUUGAUGGGGUCAGCGCAAGCGAAGCUCUUGAUCGAAGCCCCGGUAAACGGCGGCCGUAACUAUAACGGUCCUAAGGUAGCGAAAUUCCUUGUCGGGUAAGUUCCGACCUGCACGAAUGGCGUAAUGAUGGCCAGGCUGUCUCCACCCGAGACUCAGUGAAAUUGAACUCGCUGUGAAGAUGCAGUGUACCCGCGGCAAGACGGAAAGACCCCGUGAACCUUUACUAUAGCUUGACACUGAACAUUGAGCCUUGAUGUGUAGGAUAGGUGGGAGGCUUAGAAGUGUGGACGCCAGUCUGCAUGGAGCCGACCUUGAAAUACCACCCUUUAAUGUUUGAUGUUCUAACGUUGACCCGUAAUCCGGGUUGCGGACAGUGUCUGGUGGGUAGUUUGACUGGGGCGGUCUCCUCCUAAAGAGUAACGGAGGAGCACGAAGGUUGGCUAAUCCUGGUCGGACAUCAGGAGGUUAGUGCAAUGGCAUAAGCCAGCUUGACUGCGAGCGUGACGGCGCGAGCAGGUGCGAAAGCAGGUCAUAGUGAUCCGGUGGUUCUGAAUGGAAGGGCCAUCGCUCAACGGAUAAAAGGUACUCCGGGGAUAACAGGCUGAUACCGCCCAAGAGUUCAUAUCGACGGCGGUGUUUGGCACCUCGAUGUCGGCUCAUCACAUCCUGGGGCUGAAGUAGGUCCCAAGGGUAUGGCUGUUCGCCAUUUAAAGUGGUACGCGAGCUGGGUUUAGAACGUCGUGAGACAGUUCGGUCCCUAUCUGCCGUGGGCGCUGGAGAACUGAGGGGGGCUGCUCCUAGUACGAGAGGACCGGAGUGGACGCAUCACUGGUGUUCGGGUUGUCAUGCCAAUGGCACUGCCCGGUAGCUAAAUGCGGAAGAGAUAAGUGCUGAAAGCAUCUAAGCACGAAACUUGCCCCGAGAUGAGUUCUCCCUGACUCCUUGAGAGUCCUGAAGGAACGUUGAAGACGACGACGUUGAUAGGCCGGGUGUGUAAGCGCAGCGAUGCGUUGAGCUAACCGGUACUAAUGAACCGUGAGGCUUAACCUUACAACGCCGAAG
rnacentral:rRNA from 1 species